UACGUAGGGUGCGAGCGUUAAUCGGAAUUACUGGGCGUAAAGCGUGCGUAGGCGGUUCUCCAAGUCCGUUGUGAAAGCCCCGGGCUCAACCUGGGAAUGGCAGUGGAAACUAGGGGACUGGAAUCUGGCAGAGGGGGGUGGAAUGCCGCGUGUAGCAGUGAAAUGCGUAGAUAUGCGGAGGAACACCGAUGGCGAAGGCAAUCCCCUGGACCUGUACUGACGCUCAUGCACGAAAGCGUGGGGAGCAAACAGG
rnacentral:rRNA from 1 species